ACUAUGUUACACUCCCUACAUAUGUGUUUAGCAAUAUAUAGAUGAAAUUUAAAAUCUUUCGUAGCGUUGAAUUUAAACCUGUAUAUAAUAGUGGUUUUUCGUCGGAUUUCAUAAUGCAAAUGUACGCUAAUGUUCAUUUUGAGCAAAACCAGCGGCAGUAAAUAUUUGUCAUUGAUUGGUACAGGUUAUAGUGGGGAAUAUUUGCAAGCUGAUUAUUAAGACAGUGUAAGAAGCUGCAUGUCAGUUAUUGCAAGAAAUAUGGUAUCACGUAGAAUAUUAUUGUCCAGUAAUCCAUAUGUAUAGGUUAGUUUGGAUUUAUUAAAACUAUGUGGGAUUUUUAUGUGUG